AAGGUCCUAGCUUAAUAAAAGUGUCUGAGUUGCAUUUAGGAGAUGCAGGUUAAUACCCUGCGGACUUUA
rnacentral:tRNA from 1 species